UACAGAGGUCCCAAGCGUUGUUCGGAUUCACUGGCGUAAAGGGUGCGUAGGCGGUCGGGUAAGUCUGAUGUGAAAUCUCACAGCUUAACUGUGAAACUGCAUUGGAUACUAUCCGGCUCGAGGAAUGGAGGGGAGACUGGAAUACUUGGUGUAGCAGUGAAAUGCGUAGAUAUCAAGUGGAACACCAGUGGCGAAGGCGAGUCUCUGGACAUUUCCUGACGCUGAGGCACGAAAGCCAGGGGAGCAAACAGG
rnacentral:rRNA from 1 species